rnacentral:rRNA from 1 species
CGAAAGUGCAGGUAAUACCGGAUGAUGUCUUCGGAUCGAAUGUUCUGAAGGCCAAAUGGUUCGCUGGACUGGGAGCGGCCUAUGUCGUAUCAGCUUGUUGGUGAGGUAACGGCUCACCAAGGCAACGACGCGUACCGGGACUGAGAGGUUGGCCCGGCACAUCGGGACUGAGACACUGCCCGGACCUCCACGGAGGGCUGCAGUAACGAAUAUUGCGCAAUGGGCGAAAGCCUGACGCAGCGACGCCGCGUGUAGGAUGAAGUCCCUCGGGAUGUAAACUACUGUUGGGGUGAAGAAAGAUCUGAUCGAUCCCUGAGGAAGCCACGGCUAACUUCGUGCCAGCAGCCGCGGCAAUACGAAGGUGGCAAGCGUUGUUCGGAAUCACUGGGCUUAAAGCGCAUGUAGGCGGACGGUUAAGUGUCCUGUGAAAGCCCUCGGNUCACCCGAGGAACUGCGGGGCAAACUGGCUGUCUUGAGGCCGGUAGGGGUGUGUGGAACUCUUGGUGGAGCGGUGAAAUGCGUAGAUAUCAAGAGGAACGCCGGCGGAGAAAUCGGCACACUGGGCCGGCUCUGACGCUGAGAUGCGAAAGCGUGGGUAGCGAACAGGAUUAGAUACCCUGGUAGUCCACGCCGUAAACGAUGCCUACUAGGUCGCAGGUGUUCUGAAGCAUUUG